rnacentral:rRNA from 1 species
GCAUAUCAAUAAGCGGAGGAAAAGAAACCAACAGGGAUUACCUCAGUAACGGCGAGUGAAGCGGUAACAGCUCAAAUUUGAAAUCUGGCUCUUUCAGGGUCCGAGUUGUAAUUUGUAGAAGAUGCUUCGAGUAUAGCUCUGGUCUAAGUUCCUUGGAACAGGACGUCAUAGAGGGUGAGAAUCCCGUAUGUGACUAGGCGCUUUUGCUCAUGUGAAGCUCUUUCGACGAGUCGAGUUGUUUGGGAAUGCAGCUCAAAAUGGGUGGUAAAUUUCAUCUAAAGCUAAAUAUUGGCCAGAGACCGAUAGCGCACAAGUAGAGUGAUCGAAAGAUGAAAAGCACUUUGGAAAGAGAGUUAAACAGUACGUGAAAUUGUUGAAAGGGAAGCGCUUGCAACCAGACUUGCGCGCUGUCGAUCAUCCGAACUUUUGUCCGGUGCACUCGAUUGCGCUCAGGCCAGCAUCGGUUUUGGUGGUGGGAUAAAGGCCUUGGGAAUGUAGCUUCUUUCGGGGAGUGUUAUAGCCCUCGGUGCAAUGCCGCCUACCGGGACCGAGGACCGCGCUUCGGCUAGGAUGCUGGCGUAAUGGUUGUAAGCGACCCGUCUUGAAACACGGACC